AUAUCUGGGUUAUUAUAACAAGUAUAAAUGGAUGGCUAAGAAUGAAUUUGAACGAUGAACAUUUAAGCUGAAGAGAGAUAUUGAUAUUUACUAAGCUGGUAGCAUAGUUUUUAACCAUCUGACAAUUUGUCAAUUGAUAAUGGCAGGCUGUAUUUGCUAACAGUGCUUUUGCUUCAGGCCGGCUGGGCUUGAGAUACAUGGCUGUCCAUGGAACUAUCCUGUUGUCUGUCAUCUUGUCAUAAAUCAUGU
rnacentral:misc_RNA from 1 species